rnacentral:rRNA from 1 species
GAAGCUGGAUUCGCUGUAAUCGCGCAUCAGCCAUGGCGCGGUGAAUACGUUCCCGGGCCUUGUACACACCGCCCGUCAAGCCAUGGAAGCCGGGGGCGCUUGAAGUGCGUUGCCGCAAGGCGCGCCCUAGAGCGAAACCGGUGACUGGGGCUAAGUCGUAACAAGGUAGC